GCUUUCUCAAUUCAGAGGAAAAAAAGUCCAGUUGUUUUGACUUAUUUCUACAGGUAUACUUCUGAUGUUCCUGUUUUGUUUGUAGAGCUGUUUGUUCUUCUGACACCACCCUGUAUACUUUUGAUUUUAUAGGAAAGAAAUGAUUACAUCCCUUUCUGCUCAUUUGCUUAACUAUUUCUACUUCAUUUUCUCCUUGGAUGGUGUAUUUUUUCUUCAGAGCAUACCAGCAACAGUGAUUCUAAUACAAAAUAAUAUUAACAUGUUAGACAAAUCUGCAUUAUCAGACAUUCAAGUAUAAAUUUUGAUUGACUUUCGGCCUUGGGGGCAUUUGUAGACCUGGCAAGCCAAGGUAAAAAUAAGAGCAAUUAUCGCCAUGAAAAAGUGAUGAUAUGUGUCCUGCUUGUGAAAAACUCUUCCUUGCCAUUACAACAAAGACAACCUUGAUACAAACGUGAAUAUAUAAUUAGCCUUACACCCUUAGGUGUGAAAGUGCUCUAGGCUUUACGUAUGUGUGAUACUCUUCAUUAUUAUAUUGUUUCUCAAAGAUAUCUCCCAGGAAUAGCCUAAGCAACUCUUCAUGACCCACUGAUGAAAAUCACCACUGCAUAAUUUAUUCCAUGUGUGAGUGUUGCCUUCCAUUUAACCACAAAUUGGCAUCACUAUAGGUGAAACUUAACAAUGUAAUAAUGUUAUGAGAUGUGGGCUACACAUUCCUUAAAUGACAGCCAGGAUUCUAAACAAGUAGCUUAUAUAAACAAGUAUAGAUGGAGCACUGACUAAACCUGGUCAUUUAUUGGAAAAUCCCGAAUUGUUUUCUUUUCCUAGGUGUUAAUCUGUUUCAAAUGACUGUAAAUCACAUGAACUGCUUUAUUGGAUUUUCACAAAAACAAGAGAAAUCAACAUGACAACAAAUACCAUGUAGACUCAGAAGAUGUGCUGUAAUAGGUACAAUGGCAUGUUAUUUUCAAAAAUGAAUGGACAAAUACAUAGAAAAGCCAACUAAAUCAAAAAGAAAAGAAAGAAAAGGCCCAUUGUUUUCAGGAAUGUUUGACUACCCAGUAGUCAUUCAUUUUACAUUAGAAGGAACUGAGAUAUUUGACCUCUGGUACUGGAGUCGCAGAUCGCAAAGUAAGGAGACCAUGUAACUGAUGCAGAAGUCCCUCUUGCAGGAAAGCAUGCACAGAAUGAGGACGAGAGGAGGACCAACCCAGCCAGGAUUGACUGACCAGACCAAGGCAGCAACAACAAUCAAUCGAGAUCAGAGAACUCACAAUGAACAGGAGGAAGCCAAGUCAUUACCAAGGAAGUCUGGCCAAGAAACUGAGCCAACAAGGAAUGGAGGGAUCUAAAGUUCAAGAACACGCUGAGUUAAGCCUUGAAAUCAGUCCAGCCGAGCGAUGUACUGAAGGGGAAGAUCGUUUGUCAAAGUUCAAAACCGAAAACUGAGAUCAGAGCCAAAGAUUUGUGGUGCAAUGCUUCCAGGAACGUUGAGUAUAACUGCGCACCGCCCUGUGCAUGUGCAAACCCUUAAAAGGUCAGGAGUGCAGCCUGCAAACCCCGGAACGGAUUUGCAGUGCCUAACAGUUUGACCCAUGAUCAUUCCAGAAUAUUUUGAAACUUAUAUUUAAAUGAUCGAUUUUAGGAAAUGUAACUAUCUGCUGUAUCCUAAGAAAUCAUUUUGGGAUAACCCAUGCUCCAUCUGUAGUUUAUAUUGGUUGACCCUUCCUAUUUAAAUUCAGUGAUGGGUCAAUGGAAGGAUCUUAUUUUUUUUAAUAUAGACAAACAAAUUUAUAGAAUAUAAAGUUAGAUGUAAGUGCCCUAUUCAUUUUUAUUAAACACCAAGCCUGAGAA